UGGGGAAUUUUGGACAAUGGGCGAAAGCCUGAUCCAGCAAUGCCGCGUGUGUGAAGAAGGCCUUCGGGUUGUAAAGCACUUUUGUCCGGAAAGAAAUCCUUGGCUCUAAUACAGUCGGGGGAUGACGGUACCGGAAGAAUAAGCACCGGCUAACUACGUGCCAGCAGCCGCGGUAAUACGUAGGGUGCAAGCGUUAAUCGGAAUUACUGGGCGUAAAGCGUGCGCAGGCGGUUUGCUAAGACCGAUGUGAAAUCCCCGGGCUCAACCUGGGAACUGCAUUGGUGACUGGCAGGCUAGAGUAUGGCAGAGGGGGGUAGAAUUCCACGUGUAGCAGUGAAAUGCGUAGAGAUGUGGAGGAAUACCGAUGGCGAAGGCAGCCCCCUGGGCCAAUACUGACGCUCAUGCACGAAAGCGUGGGGAGCAAACAGGUUAGAUACCCUGGUAGUCCACGCCCUAAACGAUGUCAACUAGUUGUUGGGGAUUCAUUCCUUAGUAACGUAGCUAACGCGUGAAGUUGACCGCCUGGGGAGUACGGUCGCAAGAUUAAAACUUAAAUGAAUUGACGGGGUCAUAGCUGUUUCCU
rnacentral:rRNA from 1 species